CUCCAGCAGGGGACCCCAAACUUCCCUUUCCCACAUCUACCAGCUCUGACUGGGGGAUCCAAGGCGUCCCCAGGCCAGUGCAGAGAUAUAAUCUCUCCACCUAGUCCUGGGUCUUCCCCGGGGCCUCUUCCCAGCUGGCCGUGCCUGGAACACCUCCCUAGGGAGGCUCCCAGGGGGCAUCCUCACCAGAUGCCCAAACCACCUCAACUGGCUCCUUUCGACGCAAAGGAGCAGCGGCUCUACUCCGAGCUCCUCGCGAACGGCUGAGCUUCUCCCCCGAUCCCUAAGGGAGACGCCAGCCACUCUCCUGAGGAAACCCAUUUCGGCCGCUUGUACCCGUGACCUAGUUCUUUCGGUCAUCACCCAUCCUUCAUGACCAUAGGAAUGUGAAAGAAGCUCCGCCGGAGGUGUGAGUUGAAAAUCUUUUGGACCGGGGCCUCCUCCAGACGUUCCCAGUUUACCCUCACUACACGCUUGGGACCUCGUGCAGACAGACUCUAGUUUGCCUGAACCCGGGUUCAUUUUUCACACCUACCCACUUUUUAAAUUGCGUGCACAUGAACCCAGUGAAUCCGAUUGACUCCGCUGUAGUGCAUCCCCACGCCUGUUGGUGGCGCUUUAAGGUGCUACAGACAACUGAAGAAAACGGAAGAAGACAGGAGCAUGCGUAUAAGACAUGCGCGCCGUAUACAAACAAAAAAUACUGACGAUAUUCCCGUAGUACGCAUUGUAGACUUGUUAGCACAUUCAGGAGGCACAUUAUCCUUGCGUUCGCCAUUGCUGUCGUUGUUAUGAAGUGACGCAUUGGGGUUAAUAAGGGUUCAGCGUGAGGUUGCAUGCAAUCACGUGAUGCAAUCACGUGGGGCAAUCCGAUUAGGUAUGCGGAUAGCGUGCAGACGAACACGAACAGCAAUCGGAUUUCAAGUUUACUCACUUUGGACCCCGGAUUCGAGGGAGUGCGGAUACAGUGUGCGGAUACAGUGUGUUCGUCUGCACGAUAGGGCUAUCCGGAGACAGGGUUCACCGGGUUCAGGCAAACUAGAGUCCGUCUGCACAGGGUCUGGGUUUACCGGGUCUGUCCCGAGUCUUCCCCCAUCCUCUGACCCAGCUCACAACCAGAUGGUGACCAGUUGACAGCUCUGCCCCUCUUUUUACCCGAGUGUCCAGAACAUGCGGCCUCAGAUCAGACGAUUACAAAAUCGAUCAUUGAUCUUUGGCCUCGGGUGCUCUGAUACCACGUACACUUAUGAACAUCCUUAUGUUCGAACAUGGUGUUUGUUAUGGACAAUCCGUGACUGGCACAGAAGUCCAGUAACAAAUCCCCGCGCCGGUUCAGAUCAGAGAGGCCGUUCCUCCCAAUCACGCCUCUCCAGUUAUCUCCAUCGUGGCCCACGUGCGCAUUAAAGUCUCCCAGUAGGACUAUGGCGUCCCCUACUGGAGCCCCAUGCAGGACUCAUUCAGGGUCUCCAAAAAGGCCGAAUACUCUGAGCUGCUGUUUGGUGCAUAUGCACAGACCACCCCCCCCCACCACCACCCGAAGGCCACUCAGCCGGGGACUUAUGAGUAUCCCCACACCUGCCUGGCGCCUCACACCAUGGGCCACUCCGGAGUAGAAUAGAGUCCAUCCCCUAUCCAGGAGUGUGGUUCCAGAGCCGAGGCUGUGCGUAGAGGUAAGCCCCACCAGAUCCAACUGGUAACGCUCCACCUCCCGCACAAGCUCCGGCUCCUUCCCCCCCAGAGAGGUGACGGUCCACGUCCCCAGAGCCAGCAUCUGCCGCCCAGGUCUGUUCCGUCUAGACCCCCCACUGUCACUGCCACCCUUGUAGCAGCGCAUCCGACCCCAUUGGUUUCCCCCACAGGUGGUGAGCCCAUGGGGAGUAGAGUGUUGGGGUGCCGCGUCACUUUUUUGGGCUGUGCCCGGCCGGGCUCCGUGGUAAACCGGGCCACCAGACGCUCGCUGUCGGGCCCUCCAUCUGGGCCUGGCUCCAAAUGGGGGAACUUUUUCCCCUCUCUGGGAACUUAUACUGUGUCUGUGAGAUUCAAAUGUUAUUAACUCGGUCAUAGUUUUAUAUUUUUAUAUGUGGAAUAAAUAUAAAGGCACAGUAACGUGUUUUAUGAUUCUUCACACGUAGAUCAUUAAUAACUUUCUUUAUUACAUAUCUUUAUUAAUGUUUACACAUCAGAAAGUUAAUAUUCACACAAUGAGUAUUGUAUUACAUAAGCAUUACAUUGUAUUGUAUGUAUUAUAUUGGUAGUAGGGUAGUAUUUAAAAAAAAAUGUCAAUAAUAAAUGUCAAUACUGGAGAAUUGAUUUUGUCUAUGAAACGCG
ensembl:lncRNA